AGCAGCCGCGGUAAUUCCAGCUCCAAUAGCGUAUAUUAAAGUUGUUGCAGUUAAAAAGCUCGUAGUUGAAUUUCGGGAUCAAAUUGUCGGUCGUGCCUCGGUACGCACUGGUAUUAUUGGUUCCUACCUUCUGAAGAACCGCGAUGUCAUUAAUUUGGUGUCGUGGGGAAUCAGGACUGUUACUUUGAAAAAAUUAGAGUGUUUAAAGCAGGCUUACGCUUGAAUACAUUAGCAUGGAAUAAUGAAAUAGGACGUUUGAUUCUAUUUUGUUGGUUUCUAGGAUUGACGUAAUGAUUAAUAGGGAUAGUUGGGGGCAUUAGUAUUCAAUUGUCAGAGGUGAAAUUCUUGGAUUUAUUGAAGACUAACUACUGCGAAAGCAUUUGCCAAGGAUGUUUUCAUUAAUCAAGAACGAAAGUUAGGGGAUCGAAGACGAUCAGAUACCGUCGUAGUCUUAACCAUAAACUAUGCCGACUAGGGAUCGGAUGAUGUUAAUUUAAUGACUCA
rnacentral:rRNA from 1 species